AUGGCUCAGGACGAACGCUGGCGGCGUGCUUAACACAUGCAAGUUGAACGGUCCGGCAUGGAAGCUUGCUGAAGUGUCGGGUAGUAGCGGACGGGUGAGUAAUGCAUGAGAAGCUGCCAUUGGAGGGGGACAACAGUUGGAAACGGCUGCUAAUACCCCAUAUGCCGGAAGGUGAAAACGGAGUAAUCCGCCCGAUGAGGUGCUCAUGUCCUAUCAGCUUGUUGGUGAGGUAACGGCUCACCAAGGCGACGACGGGUAGCCGGCCUGAGAGGGUGACCGGCCACACUGGAACUGAGAUACGGUCCAGACUCCUACGGGAGGCAGCAGUGGGGAAUAUUGGGCCAAUGGGGGCAACCCUGACCCAGCGACGCCGCGUGAGGGAAGACGGCCUUCGGGUUGUAAACCUCUUUUGUACGGGAAGAAGGACGUGACGGUACCGUGCGAAUAAGUCCCGGCUAACUACGUGCCAGCCGCCGC
rnacentral:rRNA from 1 species